ACAACCUAUUAAUCUCAUCACGUAUAAAUGCUCUUUAUAAAAAAGGAAACCUAAAAUAAAUUUACAAGAUUGUUGAUUCUUUGUUAAAGGAGUCCAAAUUUAACCAUAUUUAUUUGUAUAUCGUGUAGAAAUUCAUGAGAUUGCUUAUGUUGUUGAUGCAUAUGUCUCUUAUGGGAGAUCCGAUGCUUUGAAUGGAAAAGUCAUCAUUGCAUCAUCUGGAAGACUAUAGAUGCAAUUGCACGUGCACAUCAUAUUCUUACUGCAAUGUGUGAAAAGCUCUUCACUUUUGAGGGUGAAAUUGGUGGUGGCAG